ACAUCAUUCUCUUCAAUUCGGAAUCUCUUGCUUCCUGCUAAAUCCUUCCUUCUCUAUACCUUUCUAACAACCUUUGCUGUUGGUUUUGUAGAUGGACCAUUAAAGGCAAUUAGGUAGCUCAUUUUUCCAUCAUCUUUGUGCUCUAGUGGCUAGAAUAUCAAAUCUGGAUCUAUUCUAGAGGUUAGAUCCUCGAUUUUGGUGAAUCUGCUUGUUACUCGUUUGGUACUUCGAGUUUCAUGCAUGGGCAAGAUGUCAAAAUUUCAUCCAAUCAUCACAAAUUUCUUUCGGUAGGUGGAUCCAUGCAAGCAUCUUGAGAUGUCGAGGCAAAGAAGACAAAGUUUGGAUUAAGAGCAAGCUUGGAAUUCAUUGAGAGAAAAGUGGAGUUGCUUUUUUCAAAUUUGUUUUACAUUAAGCACUACAUUACUUUCUAGUCAUUGCAUUUUUAUGGAGGCCAGACAGAUUAUUGAUCACAAUCCACGAAGAAGAAUUGAUGAUCACAAUUUGCACAGAAACUCAAACUAUCAUCAUAGAGGAAUCAAGUUGUACUGUUACAACGUUUUUGGUUUGAAGUAGACAGAAAAGUGAUUGUUUUAGACCAUGUUUAAUGGAUUAUUAUUUAAUAUUAUUUAUUUAUGUUUAUUAUUUGAAGAUAAA